UACAGAGGUCCCAAGCGUUGUUCGGAUUCACUGGGCGUAAAGGGUGCGUAGGUGGCGGGGUAAGUUUGAUGUGAAAUCUCCGAGCUCAACUCGGAAACUGCAUUGAAUACUAUCCUGCUAGAGGGUUGGAGGGGAGACUGGAAUUCUCGGUGUAGCAGUGAAAUGCGUAGAUAUCGAGAGGAACACCAAUGGCGAAGGCGAGUCUCUGGACAACUCCUGACACUGAGGCACGAAAAGCUAGGGGGAGCAAAACAGG
rnacentral:rRNA from 1 species